GUCUUUUCGAGGACUUUAGAUAAAAAUGGAACGAUAUAAAGAAGAUUUCUAUGAUCCAGGUAAGAGAAUGACACGCACAAAUCAAUAAAUGAUCCAAAUCUUA